GGGGAAUCUUCCGCAAUGGACGAAAGUCUGACGGAGCAACGCCGCGUGAGUGAUGACGGCCUUCGGGUUGUAAAGCUCUGUUAAUCGGGACGAAUGGCUACCAUGCGAAUAGUUUGGGAGUUUGACGGUACCGGAAUAGAAAGCCACGGCUAACUACGUGCCAGCAGCCGCGGUAAUACGUAGGUGGCAAGCGUUGUCCGGAAUUAUUGGGCGUAAAGCGCGCGCAGGCGGAUCUGCCAGUCUGUCUUAAAAGUUCGGGGCUCAACCCCGUGAUGGGAUGGAAACUACAGAUCUAGAGUAUCGGAGGGGAAAGUGGAAUUCCUAGUGUAGCGGUGAAAUGCGUAGAUAUUAGGAGGAACACCAGUGGCGAAGGCGACUUUCUGGACGAUCACUGACGCUGAGGCGCGAAAGCCAGGGGAGCGAACGGGAUUAGAUACCCCGGUAGUCCUGGCCGUAAACGAUGGGUACUAGGUGUAGGAGGUAUCGACCCCUUCUGUGCCGUAGUUAACGCAGUAAGUACCCCGCCUGGGGAGUACGGCCGCAAGGUUG
rnacentral:rRNA from 1 species